rnacentral:rRNA from 1 species
ACGCGAAGAACCUUACCCAGGCUUGAACAGCGAGUGACUACUCCUGAAAGGGAGCUUCCGCAAGGACACUCGUAGAGGUGCUGCAUGGCUGUCGUCAGCUCGUGUCGUGAGAUGUUGGGUUAAGUCCCGCAACGAGCGCAACCCUUGUCUUCUGUUGCCAUCAGGUUAUGCUGGGCACUCUGGAGAGACUGCCGGUGAUAAACCGGAGGAAGGUGGGGAUGACGUCAAGUCAGCAUGGCCUUUAUGUCUGGGGCUACACACGUGCUACAAUGGCCGGCACAAACCGUCGCGAGCCCGCAAGGGGGAGCUAAUCGGAGAAAGUCGGUCUCAGUUCGGAUCGUCGGCUGCAACUCGCCGGCGUGAAGUUGGAAUCGCUAGUAAUCGCGGAUCAGCACGCCGCGGUGAAUACGUUCCCGGGCCUUGUA